rnacentral:lncRNA from 1 species
AGGGCCACCUGUGCCCACCGAGGGGGGCCAAUCAGCACAGCCAUCUGCACAGGCGCGCAGGCCGAAGGACGGUGGCUAUUUCAGGGCCUGGCGUCAGUUUCCCUGGCGAGGAGGGCUCCAAGCCUCAGCGUGAAUACUUAGACCCCCCCGCCACUGCAUCCUGGAGAGCGAGCGAGUGGGGAAGACGGAGGGGGCUGGGGGAGCUGUGGCACAAGCAGGGUGGGCACCCUGUGGCCCAGUUAAGUGAACACACAGAAACAAUUCGUCACACCAGAGAUCUUGAUGGUGCAUACAAACAUCCACUGUCCUCGCCGAGAUGUGAUUGUGUUUCUGAUUUAUUAUCUUGACCGAGGAUGCUUUCAGUGACCUACACUUGACCUCCUCACUUCACUU